rnacentral:misc_RNA from 1 species
GUGAAUCAUCGAAUUUUUGAACGCAAAUUGCACUCUCUGGUAUUCCAGGGAGUAUGCUUGCUUGAGUGUUAGUUUAUUACAAAUCGUAAAAAUAAAUUUUUACGUAUCUUGAUUUUGCAAAAGAUAUUUGUUUGGUAAUAUAAAAUUUAUCAUAACAAUAGUUGAUAUUUGAAAUGUUUAUCUUUAAUUCACUAACAAUUAUUACCAAAUUUGUUACAUCAUGUUAUUUUCCUAAUUUCUUAAUUAUGUAAAGUAAUACAAUUUGAAUUCUUACUUCAAGUCAAGUAAU